AUGGAGGGAUGGAUGGAUAAAACAUGCAUCACGCAACAGCAGCAGGUAAAACACAGUUAGAAAAAAGGUUGAAAAGAAUGAAACUUGCUUCAAAUUUGAACUCGGCCUUCAUGAGAAGCGAAGGGGGAAGUGGUUUGGUGAAAACGUUUGCUGCAUCAGGAUCCGUUUUCACAGCAACACCACAACUGCUCACAACAACGAAACAAACGUCUCCCUUUAAGAUCUCAAUACGUUUAACAUCUUUCACUUCUGUUUUGGUCAUUUUUUAUGCUGUAUCCACAAAAAACCAUUAGGCAGCAGUUUACUGUUAAAAAUGCAGCUAUAAACUUUAUUUGAUAUAUAACAACAUUUCAGCUCUUAAGAGUUAAAUAAAAGUCAGGCACCCAAAAUGUCAUGUUUGUAAUUGGUUCAUUUUAUAGCAGCUUUCAUAAACUUCUUUCUAAAAUAUUACCAACUAAACUGGCUUUGACUAAUGACAAGCUUCUCAUUUAUUGUUUCAUUUGCAGUUGCUUUGUUAAUCUCAAUACCAGCUGUUAUAAAACCUUGUUAGUAUCAUUUAUUAUACAUGGUAGUUAUGGGAAAUGCUUAUACCUCACAAGAUUUAAAUGAAAAGUUUUUCACAAACAUUUGACCAAACAGUUCUAGAGUUAGUGAAUCUAUUAAACCCAGAAAAUGGAAGGAGAACAGGCGGAUUUGUUAUUAGUGUCCAAUGGCAAUUAUAUGCCGUUUUCUGGGUUGCUAAAUUAACAUACUCUUCAUUCAUGGGGACUCAUGCUGCGUUCCAGUUGUAUUGGGAAAAUCCAACAUCCCAGUUGGUAAAAUCAAGCAGAUCGUCCUCACAAGCUGGAUUUCCCACUAUUAAACUGGGAGCAACGCCAACUUGCCCCAGUUACAACUUGUAAGGCUGACUUUGAGUUUCAAUAUGGCCGCUCCUUGCAGUAAGCUGUGGUGGAAACAUGUUUAUUUUAUGUAAGAGUGUGUCUUAAACCAAUGGUAGAGUAGAACCAGCAACUAAUCUGAACAAACUGAAAUGGUGUUUGGUUGUGGAGUGUAAUGUUCAACAUGAUGUCUGGUCUGUGUGGACGUCACUAUGAUGAAAGUCGCCGUUAUCUCGGGUGUAACGUCAAACUGGACCGCAGCUUCAUUUCCUCUGGAUGUCGCUCCAAAAUAAAAUACGUUUAUCAUUUCUGUCUGGAUCAGCAACAACAAAUCUAAUGCAAGUUCAAUUUUAAAAAAAUAACAUUAUAUUUGAUUGUUGGGAAUAACCACAUUAUCUCCAUAUACUCACUGUUUUUGGUUUUUAAUCAUAUAAAGAUAAAAUAUACAUCGUCCAAAAAAAAAAAGAAGGACAAACAUACCGGAUUUUUGAAAUGCAACACUCCAGAAAAAGAGCAUGGAGAAUCCC